UUGGCCAACCACAGCUAUAUGGCGGCUCUGCAAUUUGUUAAAUUUGUUUUCUUCUGUUUUGUUGCAAACUGGAUCGGAUCUCUUUGUGAAUCGCAAGGAAGAUACCAGUGCCACUGUAGUAGUGGAUGCACUGGCAAUAACUAUGAUUGCCAUGGGUCUUGCGAAAAUGGAUAUUACGGACGUUAUUGUCAAAAAGAAAACGUUGCUUUGAAUAAAACAACGGAACAAUCACCAAUCUGUGUUGACUAUAAAGGUGAGGCGUAUUUGGCUGUGGAUGGCAACACGACAACAACAUUCGGAGAAUGGAAUUCUCCACAUCCAUGUACUUGUGCAAAAGGAAAUCCAACUACAUACUGGAGUGUUGAUUUGGGAAAGAAGUAUACAUUAUACAAAAUUAGAAUCUACCAGAGAAGGAACACUUUAAAUCAUAAAAGACUCAAAGGAUUUUAUAUCACCGUCGACAGCAUUGAGUGUUACCGCUGGAACGAUAAUACCUCUGACCCACCAAAAGAGUUUAAUAUAACCUGUAACAAAACUGGACAAUUUGUGAAGUUUGAAGUUUCACGAUCUGAAUACUUUACUUUGUGUGAAGUGCAAAUAUUCGUGUGCACAGAUUUCUGGUAUGAUGAAGACUGUGACAAGAUGUGUAACUGUAGAGAUGAGACUGAAGUGUGUGACAAGAAGACGGGAAGAUGUACAGCUUGUCCGGAUGGCUGGAUUGGAGACACCUGUGGUGCUUGCAGAGAUAACUAUUGGGGUACGUCCUGUGAGAAGUGUGGACAUUGUAAGACUGGAGGUUGUAAUACAUCUACAGGGCACUGUCAUCACUGUCAAACACGAUGGGAGCCUCCAAAAUGUACAACUUGUAUUGAUGGCUACUGGGGAGAAUCUUGUGAAAAGUGUGGUCAUUGUGAGACGGGAAAGGCUUGUAAUAAAACAACAGGUCAUUGUCAACAGUGUGAAACAGGAUGGGCGCUACCUAGAUGUGCAUUUAUAUCAGUUGACAUGUUCACUGUAUUUGUCGCUGGUGGAGCAUCUGUAGCAGUUGUGUGCAUAGUUACGACACUGUAUGUGUUCCUUUGUAGAAGAAAAAAGAGAACACCACAUUCAAGGCAAGACGUGUUCACCUACAAGCAGGUUCUGGCAACGCGAAACGAAGUUCCAGUGGUGGAUCUGGAACAGCUGGUCGUUGAUACGGAUGAUGAAGCCGACAACUUACUGUCCAAGCCAAGUAUUAUCGUGGAGGAGAAUGAGUACGUUAAUUAUAUUAAUACGAAAAUACCCGUGGAAACCCUGUGCACCUGUAUAAAGGACAAGAACUUCAAAGACGAGUUUUCUAUGCUGCCGUUUGGUCUACUGUCCCCCAUGAAUUCGGAAAGGAUCCUAUCAACAAAAAGAAGAACAGAUAUUUGACCACGUUCCCCUACGAUCACUCACGUGUCCAACUGAAGGUCACAGACACACAACUUAAUGAUUACAUUAAUGCUAAUUACAUAGACGGUUACAAGAAGCCAAAGGCCUACAUUGCGGCACAAGGUCCUGUGCCAAUCACA
rnacentral:misc_RNA from 1 species